CAUGUACUCCCUCCGUCCAGAAAUACUCGUCGGAGAAAUGGAUGUAUCUAGAUGUAUUUUAGUUCUAGAUACAUUCAUUUUUAUGCAUUUCUCCGACAAGUAUUUCCGGACGGAGGGAGUACUAC
rnacentral:pre_miRNA from 1 species